rnacentral:rRNA from 1 species
GACGAACGCUGGCGGCGUGCUUAAAUACAUGCAAGUCGAACGGAGCCUAGCUGGUGGUUUACUACCGGCGAAAGCUUAGUGGCGGACGGGUGAGUAACGCGUGGGUAAUCUACCCCUAAGUCCGGGAUAACAGAGCGAAAGUUCUGCUAAUACCGGAUACUCUUCCCGGGUCGCAUGGUCUGGGAAGGAAAGGUUUACUGCUUAGGGAUGAGCCCGCGUCCCAUUAGCUAGUUGGUGAGGUAACGGCUCACCAAGGCGACGAUGGGUAGCCGGCCUGAGAGGGUGGACGGCCACACUGGGACUGAGACACGGCCCAGACUCCUACGGGAGGCAGCAGUAGGGAAUAUUGCGCAAUGGACGGAAGUCUGACGCAGCGACGCCGCGUGAGCGAUGAAGGUCUUCGGAUCGUAAAGCUCUGUCCUUGGGGAAGAAGGCGAAAGCUUGACGGUACCCAAGAAGAAAGCCCCGGCUAACUACGUGCCAGCAGCCCGCGGUAAAAGUACUCUAU